AGUGAACGCUGGCGGUAGGCCUAACACAUGCAAGUCGAACGGCAGCACAGGAGAGCUUGCUCUCUGGGUGGCGAGUGGCGGACGGGUGAGGAAUACAUCGGAAUCUACUCUGUCGUGGGGGAUAACGUAGGGAAACUUACGCUAAUACCGCAUACGACCUACGGGUGAAAGCAGGGGACCUUCGGGCCUUGCGCGAUUGAAUGAGCCGAUGUCGGAUUAGCUAGUUGGCGGGGUAAAGGCCCACCAAGGCGACGAUCCGUAGCUGGUCUGAGAGUAUGCUCAGCCACACUGGAACUGAGACACGGUCCAGACUCCUACGCGAGGCAGCAGUGGGGAAUAUUGGACAAUGGGCGCAAGCCUGAUCCAGCCAUACCGCGUGGGUGAAGAAGGCCUUCGGGUUGUAAAGCCCUUUUGUUGGGAAAGAAAUCCAGCUGGCCAAUACCCGGUUGGGAUGACGGUACCCAAAGAAUAAGCACCGGCUAACUUCGUGCCAGCCGCCGCAGUAA
rnacentral:rRNA from 1 species